rnacentral:tRNA from 1 species
GGGCCUAUAGCUCAAUGGUAGAGCAGGAGCCUUUUAAGCUCUGUGUUGGGGGUUCGAGUCCUCCUGGGCCCA